rnacentral:rRNA from 1 species
UACGGAGGAUGCAAGCGUUAUCCGGAUUUAUUGGGUUUAAAGGGUGCGUAGGCGGAAAUAUAAGUCAGAGGUGAAAUCCUGCAGCUUAACUGUAGAAUUGCCUUUGAUACUGUUUUUCUUGAGUACAACUGAAGUGGAUGGAAUGAGUUGUGUAGCGGUGAAAUGCAUAGAUAUAACUCAGAACACCUAUUGCGAAAGCAGUUCACUAAGUUGCCACUGACGCUGAGGCACGAAAGCGUGGGGAGCGAACAGG